ACAACAGACGGAAACGACUGCUAAUACCGAAUAAGUUCCAAGGGCCGCAUGGCCCAUGGAAGAAAAGGUGGCCUCUACCUGUAAGCUAUCGCCUGAAGAGGGGUUUGCGUCUGAUUAGCUGGUUGGAGGGGUAACGGCCCACCAAGGCGACGAUCAGUAGCCGGUCUGAGAGGAUGAACGGCCACACUGGAACUGAGACACGGUCCAGACUCCUACGGGAGGCAGCAGUGGGGAAUCUUCCGCAAUGGGCGAAAGCCUGACGGAGCAACGCCGCGUGAGUGAUGACGGCCUUCGGGUUGUAAAACUCUGUGAUCCGGGACGAAAAGGCAGAGUGCGAAGAACAAACUGCAUUGACGGUACCGGAAAAGCAAGCCACGGCUAACUACGUGCCAGCAGCCGCGGUAAUACGUAGGUGGCAAGCGUUGUCCGGAAUUAUUGGGCGUAAAGCGCGCGCAGGCGGCUUCCCAAGUCCCUCUUAAAAGUGCGGGGCUUAACCCCGUGAUGGGAAGGAAACUGGGAAGCUGGAGUAUCGGAGAGGAAAGUGGAAUUCCUAGUGUAGCGGUGAAAUGCGUAGAGAUUAGGAAGAACACCGGUGGCGAAGGCGACUUUCUGGACGAAAACUGACGCUGAGGCGCAAAAGCGUGGGGAGCAAACAGGAUUAGAUACCCUGGUAGUCCACGCCGUAAACGAUGGAUACUAGGUGUAGGAGGUAUCGACCCCUCCUGUGCCG
rnacentral:rRNA from 1 species